rnacentral:rRNA from 1 species
AUGGAUUCACGUGCAGCCGCUCUUGUUCUCAAGGCGGCCGUCUUCGCCGCCGUUCUCUCCAUGCUGGUCCUGCCUUCCUCGGGGCGUUGUACAUCGCUGGGAUCGGCGCCGGCGCCACCACCGCAGGCGCCGGUUUCAGCAACUCGAGAGCCGCCACCACCGUCGGGGCCAAAGAUAACUUGCGCGGAUUGUAUGCAGUGCCGGGACUCGUGCAGCAGCGACUGCGCCGCUAUCAGCUGCCUCCGGGAAUAA